CUGAAUUGAAGUGCAAGAAAGGGAGAGAAAAGCUUUUACGUAGUUGACUGGCACCAAGGAAAUUCUAGCAACAUAUCUUUGGGGUGCAAGACGGGAGGUCUUGUAGAAAUGCAUACAGGAUACUGGAACACACGAAUUAACAGAAAUUCACCAUCCUCCUCCUCUAUUUUUUUCUAGACUAGAAGACACAUGGAACAGAGCAGAGGUGACCUACGUAAGGUCACACUUCUGGCUGGUGUCCUAAGAUUCAACCGAAUGCAGAGAACUCACUACCAUCAGGUCCCGUGAAGGUAACAUUCGAGACUACCCUUACUGUUUAGUGGUACUGCUUUGGGAGAAAUUUAUACCUGGAUUUACUAUAUGGAAAUGCUGUAUCCGAAAUCUAAAAUGUGAGUAGAAUCCUGCAAUCCAACACUGAGUAAGAACCAGGAGGAUAAAGAUGAAGAUGAAGAUAAAGUGAAAACACUAAACGACUUUGAAGUGACAGCCACUGGGGCUAAUGGGACAUGAGGAAAACAUCACUCUGCAUGAGAAGAAAGGAGAACCUUUUUAAGUACUGGAGAACUGUGAGAACUAACUGUUGAUCUGAAAGCAACCAUGAUUUGCUACAGAGGUGCGAGCUUGCACAGAGACCUGUGAAAUCCCACAGAACACAGGAAGUGUCUAAUUCCGCUGGAUCGGGCUGGUGUCAAGGCAGCUGACAGCUUCAGAGCCAAGAGCCUCCAGAAUCCUUUUUGGUAAGGAAUGUCAGCUACAAGGGGAAUCCCUACCUCACCAUCUACACAGAGUUCAAAGGAAAUGCAGAUUUAAUCAUUUGGUUUCUGUGUGACUUUCAAGUCAAAGUGAAACUAGAAUGUGAAUAUCAGAGCGUGUGAACCUUUUUGGUACGAAGCCUGGGUUCCCCUCUUACUGCUGCGGUGUGUAGAGGAUUGUGCAAUGUAAUAGCAGCAUCCAAGAUACACAGGGUCUCUGCUUCGACUCUCAAGAUGACUGCUGAUGCUCGGAGCUGAGCUGCAGAGUGCAGCAGCUCAUUGUUUGGGCCAGGAGUGUGCACGUGAAAAAUGACUCGCCGCACACUCUGCUUCCAUUCUGGUGCUCCGGGAAUGGAUUGACUUCAAAGAACUCUUUAAAAAUUAAAGUUAGGGGGACUGGAGAGAUGGCUCACUGGUUGAGAUUACUGACCGCUCUUCCAGAGGAGCCAGGUUCAAUUCCCAGCACCUAUAUGGCAGUUCAUAACUGUCUGUAACUCCAAGAUCUGACACCCUGAUGCAGACAUACAUGCAAACAAAACACCAAUGCACAUGAAAUAAAACUAAACUUAGAAUGCCACCUAGCAGUAGUGAAACUAAGUUCAAUCCCCAGAGCCAUUAAAUAAAUAUAAUGCAUGUAUAUGCAUAUAUACAUAUACAUAAUCUAUUUAUAAUUUAUAUUUCUCCAUUGGUGAACAAAAGUUAGAAUACAUGUUCAUUGUUAAAAAUAAGAAACAGAACACGGGUGAUGACCAACCUAAACAUCACCAGUGUGGUCUUACACAAAUAGGUUCCCUUUUCUUAUUUCAUUUAGAAACCCACUAAGCAAUUGGUGUAAUACUCCAUUUAGAGCAAGAACACCACAGAGUUGUCUCUGAUAUCCACAUAAAUGCUAUGACAUGCUUGCCUCCCUAUAUACACACAUCAUGUAUGUGUGUGUGUAAACACAUACACACACACACACACACACACACACACACACAGAGAGAGAGAGAGAGAGAGAGAGAGAGAGAGAGAGAGAGAGAGAGAUAUUAAAAAUAAAUCUAGUACCAGAACCUGAGUUUGAUCCCCCAAACCAUGUAAAAAAAAAAUCCAACCAUGUGAUGUAUGCUUGUAAUUCUAGCUCAGGGGAGGGAGAGCCAGGCAGACAGAUCCCUUUGUCUGAAGAAAGAAAGUGGAUGUCUCCAUGGAAGGACACCUGAAGUUAACCUCUGACCCCCACAGGCAUGCACAUGCAUAUGAACAUGUACCCACACACAUGAACAUACACAGGAAAACACUUCUCUUACGCCAUGCAUACCAUAAUUUGUAUAAAAUUCCACCAUAAAGGAGAGCUGGUUUCAGCUUCCUUUAUUAUAAACUAUACUGCAGCAACUAUAUGUGAAUACACAUUUUUUUCUGUUUAGCAUCAAUUUCGUACUAUUAAAUUUUCAAAAAAU
rnacentral:lncRNA from 1 species